GAUGAACGCUGGCGGCGUGCCUAAUACAUGCAAGUCGAGCGAACGGACGAGAAGCUUGCUUCCCUGAUGUUAGCGGCGGACGGGUGAGUAACACGUGGAUAACCUACCUAUAAGACUGGGAUAACUUCGGGAAACCGGAGCUAAUACCGGAUAAUAUUUUGAACCGCAUGGUUCAAAAGUGAAAGACGGUCUUGCUGUCACUUAUAGAUGGAUCCGCGCUGCAUUAGCUAGUUGGUAAGGUAACGGCUUACCAAGGCAACGAUGCAUAGCCGACCUGAGAGGGUGAUCGGCCACACUGGAACUGAGACACGGUCCAGACUCCUACGGGAGGCAGCAGUAGGGAAUCUUCCGCAAUGGGCGGAAGCCUGACGGAGCAACGCCGCGUGAGUGAUGAAGGUCUUCGGAUCGUAAAACUCUGUUAUUAGGGAAGAACAUAUGUGUAAGUAACUGUGCACAUCUUGGCGGUACCUAAUCAGAAAGCCACGGCUAGCUACGUG
rnacentral:rRNA from 1 species